UUUAGCAAAACCUGCGUAGCUUUACAAUCCUUUCCCUCUGAUAGAAUUCAAAUUCAAUUCAAACACUGAAAUUCAAAUUUAAGAUAAUCAAGCUUUGUGGACUGUCAAAAGCAAUGUGAGCAGUAUUAUACAAAAGUUUUCUUUUAAGCUUCUAGUAUAAAUGGAUAACAAGGAUGAGGGUGUUGCUGGCCAGGCAGCAUUUAUUGCCCAUCUUUUAUUGCCCGGAGGACAGCUCAGAGUCAACCACAUUGCUGAGUCUGAAGUCACAUGUAGGCCAGACCAGCAAUGAAAGAGACAGGAAGCUGCCCAAAAGGUACAUUAAACAGACCAAGCUGGAAGGUUCAACAGUAGGAAAAACAUGACAAAUACAAGAGUGACCAUAACGAUAUGGGUGGUCCCUGGAUAUGUUGACAAAAACGGCCUCACAAGCUUCAAGUAUUUCCAUUGGUUUAAUGAUGGUGGAUAAGUUUGUUAUCUAUUAUACUGGUAUAUUAAAAGUUGAUUUCAGAAGAAUUUGAAUGGUUGGUAACACAAAUUAUUGCAAAAUGUAAACUUCACAUUUAUGAUGAAUAUUUUUCCAAUCCUACCGACAUUUAAUAUGCUCACUGACAUUCUAACUGGUGUUAGUGUGACACUUAAAUUUGACAAGCAUUCAAUAAAGGAAUCCAAACUUGAAACU